UCUAGAACUUGAGAUAUGGGCUGAACACUGAACAGUGUCUAGGCUACAGAACAGAUUCAAACAUCUUUUUUGAUGCUAAUAGUUGAACUUGAAAAUGGAAGAUUUGAAUCUUGGACUCUCAUGAAAGUUUUAGACAUAUGUCUUAGCUUUCCAUC
rfam:Populus trichocarpa scaffold_14_contig_152, whole genome shotgun sequence.